GGAGGGUGCAAGCGUUAUCCGGAUUCACUGGGUUUAAAGGGUGCGUAGGCGGGCAGGUAAGUCAGUGGUGAAAUCCUGGGGCUUAACCCCAGAACUGCCGUUGAUACUAUCUGUCUUGAAUAUUGUGGAGGUGAGCGGAAUAUGUCAUGUAGCGGUGAAAUGCUUAGAGAUGACAUAGAACACCAAUUGCGAAGGCAGCUCACUACACAAUGAUUGACGCUGAGGCACGAAAGCGUGGGGAUCAAACAGGAUUAGAUACCCUGGUAGUCCACGCCCUAAACUAUGGAUACUCGACAUACGCGAUAUACUGUGUGUGUCUGAGCGAAAGCAUUAAGUAUCCCACCUGGGAAGUACGACCGCAAGGUUGAA
rnacentral:rRNA from 1 species